AGAUGUCUCUGAAGCGGCUCGAGUCUGGGUUUCCAUCCAGGUUUCAGCAUCUGAUGUUCGCAGGUUGUGCUCAGGGGUCCGGGAUGCUGAUCCAACACCGCUUAAUAAUCCUCACGCCUCAAUGGCUGCCCUAUAGAUAGACUCACCUCCACCACAGGAAUGUGCGAAUCUCCAUCACUGGCUCAGGGCCAUGAAAAGCCAAAAAAUAAGAAGCGUUGCAUCGACACUCCUGAAGUGGCCCUCCUUCGUUCAGAAGAGUCCAAGCGCGUUCACUGAACGAGAGUUGUUGCAAGAAACGGCUGCUCAAGUUUUUUAUCCGUGCCGGCAUCAGCUCAUGGUCUAUCCGCUGGUGGACGAACUCCUCCAUCUCCGCUGUCGACGUGCUUUCGGUGGGCCCGUUCCCUCCUCGCACCUCCGAUUGGCACGGUCGGCCACGUACGGUGCGACAGAAGUUCAACAUACGGACAACGCCGCUGCCAGUCUCCCACACGAGCCGCCACCUCCUCUAGCGACGUAUUUUGGCCCAAGCCCCAAUUACUUUUCUUGACAGUCGACGCGAUGGCUGUAGCUUGGGUCUGCCCCUCCAAUCCACGGAUCGCAGAGGAGCGUACUGCGCUGUGAACCUGAGAAGCUGAGUUUGAUUCCCGGCCAAUUCUUGUGAUCAGAAAAACCGAGAAUUCCUGUGUUCCGCCUGCCGGCCGAGGUUGCCACCUCCCCCUGGGUCCACUCGGCCUUUCAAGCGGCUACUCAGGUGCCAACGUGUAAGCGUGGGCACUGGCG